rnacentral:rRNA from 1 species
AACGUAGGAGACGAACGUUAUCCGGAGUUACUGGGCGUAAAGGGCGUGUAGGCGGUUUGUUAAGUCUGGCGUGAAAGCUCUCGGCUAAACCGGGAGAGGUCGUUGGAUACUGGCAAACUUGAGGAUGGUAGAGGCGUGUGGAAUUCCGGGUGUGGUGGUGAAAUGCGUAGAGAUCCGGAGGAACACCAGUGGCGAAGGCGACACGCUGGGCCAUACCUGACGCUAAAGCGCGACAGCAUGGGGAGCAAACGGG